UACGAAGGGGGCUAGCGUUGCUCGGAAUCACUGGGCGUAAAGCGCACGUAGGCGGCUUCUUAAGUCAGGGGUGAAAUCCUGGAGCCCAACUCCAGAACUGCCCUUGAUACUGAGGAGCUCGAGUCCGGAAGAGGUGAGUGGAACUGCGAGUGUAGAGGUGAAAUUCGUAGAUAUUCGCAAGAACACCAGUGGCGAAGGCGGCUCACUGGUCCGGUACUGACGCUGAGGUGCGAAAGCGUGGGGAGCAAACAGG
rnacentral:rRNA from 1 species